rnacentral:rRNA from 1 species
CACGGGGGGAGCAAGCGUUGUUCGGAAUCACUGGGCGUAAAGGGCGUGUAGGCGGUCCGGUAAGUGAGAUGUGAAAUCCCUCGGCUCACCCGAGGACCUGCAUCUCAAACUGCCUGACUCGAGUACGGGAGAGGAUGUGGGAAUUCCUGGUGUAGCGGUGAAAUGCGUAGAUAUCAGGAGGAACACCGGUGGCGAAAGCGCACAUCUGGCCCGAUACUGACGCUGAGGCGCGAAAGCUAGGGGAGCAAACGGGAUUAGAUACCCGAGUAGU